UACGGGGGGGGCAAGCGUUGUUCGGAAUUACUGGGCGUAAAGGGCGCGUAGGCGGUUCGAUAAGUCAGCUGUGAAAACCAUGGGCUUAACUCAUGGCCUGCAGUUGAGACUGUCGGGCUGGAGUGUGGGAGAGGAGAGUGGAAUUCUCGGUGUAGAGGUGAAAUUCGUAGAUAUCGAGAGGAACACCGGCGGCGAAGGCGGCCAACUGGACGAAUACUGACGCUGAGACUCGAAAGCGUGGGGAGCAAACAGG
rnacentral:rRNA from 1 species